GAGGCGUGGCUUCCGGAGCUAACGCGUUAAGUCGACCGCCUGGGGAGUACGGCCGCAAGGUUAAAACUCAAAUGAAUUGACGGGGGCCCGCACAAGCGGUGGAGCAUGUGGUUUAAUUCGAUGCAACGCGAAGAACCUUACCUACUCUUGACAUCCACGGAACUUGCCAGAGAUGGCUUGGUGCCUUCGGGAACCGUGAGACAGGUGCUGCAUGGCUGUCGUCAGCUCGUGUUGUGAAAUGUUGGGUUAAGUCCCGCAACGAGCGCAACCCUUAUCCUUUGUUGCCAGCACUUCGGGUGGGAACUCAAAGGAGACUGCCGGUGAUAAACCGGAGGAAGGUGGGGAUGACGUCAAGUCAUCAUGGCCCUUACGAGUAGGGCUACACACGUGCUACAAUGGCGUAUACAAAGAGAAGCAAACUCGCGAGAGCCAGCGGACCUCAUAAAGUACGUCGUAGUCCGGAUUGGAGUCUGCAACUCGACUCCAUGAAGUCGGAAUCGCUAGUAAUCGUAGAUCAGAAUGCUACGGUGAAUACGUUCCCGGGCCUUGUACACACCGCCCGUCACACCAUGGGAGUGGGUUGCAAAAGAAGUAGGUAGCUUAACCUUCGGGAGGGCGCUUACCACUUUGUGAUUCAUGACUGGGGUG
rnacentral:rRNA from 1 species